CUCCACAAAGGCGUAGUUCAAGCUGCCGUAGAUUGGCUUCCUCUCCCCACUGGGAUUCCGGAGCACGCUGUCGCCCAAGUGCAUCUUGUAGCUGUUGGUCACAUUGCGCCACGGCAGGCUAUCUACGGAUAAAUCCCCUGAAGAAACUCACAAAGUUAUCGCCGAAGAUCAUGACCACGCAGGUGAAGAGAUUGUCGGACACCGCAUUGACCAGAUCCGUGUGGCGGAAGUGGCAGAGCUCCGUCUUCUCGCGUUCCACAUUGGUGGCCUUGGCUAUGUAGGUCAGCCGCUCCUUGGGAUUCAGCUCGGCGGCGUAGUUCUUGAGCACCGUGUGGUAGGGCACCCAGGCCAGGACCGAAUCCGCUUCAUUGGCACACACCUCCGCCUGGACACCGCGUCCACUCAGCUCCCCGUUGUGCAGCCGCAGGAAGUGGUGGUUGUCCCGCUUGACCGUCGUGGAGCCGUGAUCCGUGCACAGGGUGUCCACGAGACUCGCCUGCGAAUCAGCCAGAUAAAAGUUUAGACGGGAAACAAGCACCUCGAUCGCCGGCUUAUCUCAGCUCCGUCGGCAUUAUCUUCCCCAGCUACGAUGGACACUUUGUCUCUUUAUCGUCAAGCUAAUUCAAUUUGGAAUAUCAGCCACUCGAAGGUGGCACACGAAUAAUUUAUGGCUGGCAUUGGAUUCGUCACUUAAGGAUGUCGAUGAGCUAAACUCGUUUGGACGAAACGGAAUUCAAAGCCAUUUAAGGCUGAAAGUUUUCAUCUGCUUGAGGUCACUCUUUACAAAAAUGGAUAAAUGUAAUUCACUUUUGGUCACCUAAUCAUAAAACUAAAUAAGUUUUAUUUUAGACUGGCUUUUUGGAGGAUUUUAAAAUGUAUGUUAAGAGUAAAGAUUUUAGAGAAUUGUUUCGAUUAGAAAUAUAAACUUGAAUUUAAUUAAAUGUGAGCAAAAAUUCGAAAUGUCAAAGAUUUAACAACAAGGAAAAUAUUUUGAAAUGUCUAUUUAAGUAGAUUGAAAGAAAGAUAUGAAACCGACUUAAAUGCAAAGUAGAUAAGCAAUUAAUUAUUAUUUCCUGCUUUCGGAGUGUGGGAUACUGCAAAAUGUAUCAUCCAAUAGUAUCUUUAAAAAUACUAAUACAAUUUUUUAAACCUUGUAUAAUAACUACAAA